rnacentral:rRNA from 1 species
AUUGAACGCUGGCGGCAGGCCUAACACAUGCAAGUCGAGCGGAUGAAGGGAGCUUGCUCCUAGAUUCAGCGGCGGACGGGUGAGUAAUGCCUAGGAAUCUGCCUGGUAGUGGGGGAUAACGUCCGGAAACGGGCGCUAAUACCGCAUACGUCCUGAGGGAGAAAGUGGGGGAUCUUCGGACCUCACGCUAUCAGAUGAGCCUAGGUCGGAUUAGCUAGUUGGUGGGGUAAAGGCCUACCAAGGCGACGAUCCGUAACUGGUCUGAGAGGAUGAUCAGUCACACUGGAACUGAGACACGGUCCAGACUCCUACGGGAGGCAGCAGUGGGGAAUAUUGGACAAUGGGCGAAAGCCUGAUCCAGCCAUGCCGCGUGUGUGAAGAAGGUCUUCGGAUUGUAAAGCACUUUAAGUUGGGAGGAAGAGCAGUAAGUUAAUACCUUGCUGUUUUGACGUUACCAACAGAAUAAGCACCGGCUAACUUCGUG